rnacentral:rRNA from 1 species
AUAAUAAGAAGAAAUCUUUCUCGGUAUCAAUCCCCUUGCCCCUCAUUCUUUGAGAAUCAGAAGGAUCCUUUUCGAGUUUCCAUUUUUUCAUUUGGAAUCUGGGCUCUUCUAUCUUUGACUUAA